CAACAAAUAAAGUACUUUUACUUGCCCUGGGUCUUCGCUCAACUUGACAAUAUAUACUUCUCCAAAGAUAAACACAUAGAUGAUGAAGUUGGCAUAUACAUUCCCAAAGCUAGCUCAAUCUUUAGGAGGCUCACAGGAAAGUGUAAGAGAAAAGAGGUAUUAGAUUGCCUACCAAAUUGAAGAUAUACAAAGCCACUAUACUUCAUUCUGCAAUAUGUCCUCCUCUUUGGUAUUCCCCUUCAAAAAAAAAAAAAAACACCAGAAUUUCUCCUAAGUGCCAAGACUUCUGGCUAAGGCUUUCCUCCUUACAAAGUUGUAAAUCUAUGAAACCUGGAUAGUCUACCAACAGCAUUCCAGGAAACUGAAUCAUUUCCAUUUGAAGAUUCUGGAAAAUCACCAGCAAGAUAAGGUUUGGGAUAUUGAGGUUCUUUUUCAAGCCAAACAUUCAAACUCUACUCCAGAGACUUUGAUGGACUGGCCACAUUGUCCAAAUGCCAAAUGUACAUUUAUUUGCCUAAAAGACUAUUUUAUGUUUUAUUAAUUUAUAUUUUAUUUAUCAUUUACUCAUCCAAGGCAAGUGUUCACAUGGAGGUCAGAAUAAGUAGUACAAGGACCCUCUCAAGGUUUUUCAGAAGUACUUUGGCAUCAUUUGUGAGACAUUGGAGAUAUAGGCAAGACUGCCCAGUAUGGUGAGCCUCAAAAGAAGGCAAACAAAGUUUUGUGUUCUAGGAGCAAAGCAGAAUCUUAAUAACUCAAAAGAUGAGAUGUGCAAAUUUAGUUACAAUUCCUUCCCAAAUGUUCAAACAGAAUAUCUAUACCUAACCUGUGGUAGAGCCUUGUGAUCUUGUAUUGGUCUCACCUGCCACUAUAAAAAUCUCUUUACUUUGACCCUAACAUCAUGAUGUCCUCUUUAACUAUGAAGAAUGAAGAACAAUUUUUUUUUAAUUUAAUAGCCUUUCAUUUACAAGUUAUAUGUAUGGGUAACUUUACAGCAUUGACAAUUGCCAAAUCUCUUGUUCCAAUUUUUCUUUUUUCUUCUUUUUUUUUUUUUUAAUUUAAUAGCCUUUUAUUUACAGGAUAUAUACAUGGGUAACUUUACAGCAUUAACAAUUGCCAAACCUCUUGUUCCAAUUUUUCACCUCUUUCCCCACCCCCCCAAAUGGCAGGAUGACCAGUAGAUGUUAAAUAUAUUAAAAUAUAAAUUAGAUACACAAUAAGUAUACAUGACCAAACCGUUAUUUUGUUGUACAAAAAGAAUCAGACUCUGAAAUAUUGUACAAUUAGCUUGUGAAGGAAAUCCAAAAUGCAGGUGGGCAAAAAUAUAGGGAUUGGGAAUUCAAUGUAAUGGUUUUUAGUCAUCACCCAGAGUUCUUUCGCUGGACGUAGCUGGUUCAGUUCAUUACUGCUCCAUUAGAAAUGAUUUGGUUGAUCUCAUUGCUGAGGAUGGCCAAGUCCAUCAGAAUUGGUCAUCAUAUAGUAUUGUUUUUGAAGUAUAUAAUGAUCUCUUGGCUCUGCUCGUUUCACUAAGCAUCAGUUCGUGUAAGUCUCUCCAGGCCUUUCUGAAAUCAUCCUGUUGGUCAUUUCUUACAGAACAAUAAUAUUCCAUAAUAUUCAUAUACCACAAUUUAUUCAGCCAUUCUCCAAUUGAUGGGCAUCCACUCAGUUUCUAGUUUCUAGCCACUACAAAGAGGGCUGCCACAAACAUUUGUGCACAUACAGGUUCCUUUCCCUUCUUUAUGAUCUCUUUGGGAUAUAAGCCCAGUAGUAACACUGCUGGAUCAAAGGGUAUGCACAGUUUGAUAACUUUUUGAGCAUAGUUCCAAAUUGCUCUCCAGAGUGGUUGGAUCCAUUCACAGUUCCACCAACAAUGUAUUAGUGUCCCUGUUUUCCCACAUCCCAUCCAAUUUUCCCAUAUCCCAUCCAACAUUCCACAUUAUCUUUCCCUGUCAUUCUAGCCAGUCUGACAGGUGUGUAGUGGUAUCUCUAGAGUUGUCUUAAUUUGCAUUUCUCUGAUUAAUAAUGACUUGGAGCAUCUUUUCAUAUGGCUAGAAAUAGUUUCAAUUUCUUUAUCUGAGAAUUGUCUGUUCAUAUCCUUUGACCAUUUAUCAAUUGAAGAAUGGUUUGAUUUUUUAUAAAUUAGAGUCAAUUCUCUAUAUAUUUUGGAAAUGAGGCCUUUAUCAGAACCUUUGACUGUAAAAAUAUUUUCCCAAUUUAUUGCUUCCCUUCUAAUGUUGUCUUCAUCAGUUUUGUUUGUACAAAAACUUUUCAGUUUGGUAUAGUCGAAAUUUUCUAUUUUGUGAUCAGUAAUGAUCUCUAGUUCUUCUUUGGUCAUAAAUUCCUUCCUCUUCCACAGGUCUGAGAGGUAAACUAUCCUAUACUCUUCCAAUUUACUUAUAAUCUCAUUCUUUAUGCCUAGGUCAUGAACCCAUUUUGACCUUAUCUUGGUGUAUGGUGUUAAGUGUGGAUCAAUGCCUAGUUUCUGCCAUAUUAGUUUCCAAUUUUCCCAGCAAUUUUUGUCAAACAGUAAGUUCUUAUCCCAAAAGCUGGGGUCUUUGGGUUUGUCAAAGACUAGGUUGCUAUAGUUGUUGACUGUUUUGUCCCUUGAACCUAACCUAUUCCACUGAUCAACUAAUCUAUUCCUUAGCCAAUACCAAAUGGUUUUGGUAACUGCUGUUCUAUAAUAUAAUUUUAGAUCUGGUACAGCUAAGCCACCUUCUUUUGAUUUUUUUUUUUCAUUAAUUCCCUUGAAAUUCUUGACCUUUUGAUUUUCCAUAUGAAUUUUGUUGUUAUUUUUUCUAAGUCAUUAAAAUAGUUUUUUGGGAAUCUGAUUGGUAUAGCACUAAACAAAUAGAUUAGGUAGUAUUGUCAUCUUUAUUAUAUUUGCUCGCCCUAUCCAAGAGCAUUUAAUAUUUUUCCAAUUGGUUAGAUCAGAUUUAAUUUGUGUGAAAAGUGGUUUGUAAUUUUGCUCAUAAAGUUUCUAAUUUUCCCUUAGCAGAUAGAUUCCUAAGUAUUUUAUACUAUCAGUAGUUACUUUAAAUGGAAUUUCUCUUUGUAACUCUGACUGUUGGAUUUUGUUAGUGAUAUAUAAGAAUGCAGAUGAUUUAUGAUUUAAUAAACCCUGCAACUUUGCUAAAGUUGUGGAUUAUUUCUAAUAACUUUUUAGUAGAAUCUCUGGGGUUCUCUAAGUAUACCAUCAUAUCAUCAGCAGAGAGUGAUAAUUUGGUUUCCUCAUUGCCUACUCUAAUUCCUUUAAUCUCUUUCUCAACUCUUAUUGCCAAAGCUAGCAUUUCUAAUACAAUAUUGAAUAGUAACGGUGAUAGUGGGCAUCCUUGUUUCUCACUCCUGAUCUUAUUGGGAAUGGUUGCCAUUUUUCCCCAUUACAUAUGAUGCUCACUGACGGUUUUAAAUAUAUGCUGCUGAUUAUUUUAAGGAAAAGUCUAUUUAGAAUGAAGAACAAUUAAGAAAAAAGCCAGAACUUUGUCCCAAGUGCUGGUACGUUGUGGGAACAGGAAUUUUGGUUAGUAAUUCUCAUUUCUAGAUUUUGUACUUUGUAUCUCCUGGGCUUUUGCCAGCUUUCUCCUAUUUUUUCUGGUUUAUAUGGUGGAGGAUGAUGAGGUAAAAAAAUAGCAAUGCUUGAGAAACCUAAGGGAACAAGAAAUGAAAGGUAAGAAAAAAAUUAUUUGGUGACAAACCCCCACAUCAUAGAUUACAACAUGAAAAUAUUUUUUAGAAUCAGAAAUGAAAUCAGAUGAACUUGUUAUUUUUUUCUUUUGAAGAGGAUCAAUGACAUCAAUAUCUUGACUUAUGCAUGAAUUGGAUUUAAGUGACACAGAGCUGCACAAAGACCUUAGCUGUAGCAUCACUCUCUCUUCAUCAAGGAUCAUCAAAGUCUAGUGGUAAGACAAAAGUUAAAAAGAUAGGCAAUAGCCUUGGAUAGAGUAGAUGAGGCAGAGGAUAACUUUAGUGUCUUCAAUGUCUGACCAAGACCUUGAUUUUAAAAUAUAUUUCUGGCUACGACAUUUGUUAUUGAAAAGAGGUUACUCAUUUUUUAUUGUAUUAUAGAAUACAUCUUUAAAUUGUUGUUUAAGUCCGGUUUUCAGGUCAGUAAGCAAGUUCUUUAAAGUUACUUAAUCCAAAUUCAUAAGAUCUGCAUUUUGAAAAGAUCUGCAUAUGCACAUUUACAUCAUAAAUCUUAAUAGCUUCUUGCUAACUUUUACAACUCAACUUCUAAGCACCAUUUAAGUGGCUGGUUCUUUUUCAAAACUGCAGUCAAAAUAACAAAAGAAAGAAUUUACAACCUAAACAAUUAGAGU
rnacentral:lncRNA from 1 species